rnacentral:lncRNA from 1 species
GUUUGGUACAAUCUGGUUCACAUCAUAAUGGUUCUUUUGCCAACAGGAGCUGGUAAUCAGGAUGGCAGUGAGGCAGGCACUUGCUUGCAGAAGAACAGGCCUAGUUUUUUAAGAAGCCACAAAAGUGUCUUUGGAUGAUUAGGAUCUAAGGGGCCAACAGCUUUGCAAUAACAGCAUAAAUAUUGUGGGCUGGAUGGACAGGCACCAAAUGGGGACAUUCCAUCCUGCUGUGUGAUGAGAAAGCUGCCACUUUUGAGGCCUUCCAAAACAAAUCAACACUCCAUAUGCCAGAAGGAAAAGCCCAGGAAAGACCUAUUCCAACUGGAGAUGGUGAAUGUCAUUUCUUCAAGAAGCUGAGAUCCAGCUGGUACUGCCAGGUGGAGAGUGAGUUGGGUAGCUGACCUCGGGCAUGGCAGCCUUGGUUUUUGGCCACUUCAUGGGGUGACCUGUUGAGCAAACAGCAGUGGAAUUCUGCAGCUGUGGACCAAGAUGAAUACGAAGGGAGAAUGAAACAAAACUGCUCCGCUUAGGGAACUUGGAAAGGAAAUUGAAAAGGCAAGGCACAGGCUGGAAGAAAAUAUUUGAAAAAGAUUUAUGUGAACUUCUUUCUGGAUUAUACAAAAUAUUUUUAGAUAUUCUUACAACUCUAAAAUAAGAUAACUCCUUAAAAAUCUAAAUUCUACCAAAGGAGAGAUAAAGAUGACGAAUACAUUCAAAGAUGCUGAAAAUCACUUAUUUAUUAUUAGGAAGUUACAAGCUAAAGCAUAAUGAGAUACCACUACAACCUACUAAACUGACUAAAAUUAAUCAGACUAACCAGGUGUUGGCAAGAAACAGGGACACUGAGACUCUCACACUGCUGGAAGGAAUGUAAAAUGCUAAAACUUCUUUGGAAAUGAGUUCAGUAACUUUUUAAACAGUUGAAAAUAGACCUAUCAUGCAAACCAGCAAUCCCACUUCCAGGUAUUUAUACAAGGAAAAUGACAACAUAUGCCCACAUAAAGACUUGUGCACAAAUGACCGUAGCAGCUUUGUGAUAAUUGCUAAAAACUAGAAACUUGUCAAGUGUCCAACAGGUGAGUGGACAAACUCACUAUAGUAUAUCCAUACAAUUAAGUACUAAAUAGCAAUAAAAAGGAACUAUUAAUAC